rnacentral:lncRNA from 1 species
UCCAGAAUUCAGGUUUUCGAACUUUUUGGAUCGGAAAACAUUCUACGACCCUCCACCAAGUGUGGAAAAGCUCGAAAAAUAUCCAAUCACUCGAACCUCACAAUUUGCAAAGGUCCAAUGUGUUACAUAAUCUCCCUCCUAUGGUAUGGGAUGAGUUUCGGGGAUUGGUGAUUUCGACUUACUUCCCCGACACUGAAAAGAGAA